UACAGAAGUUGGCAGGGUGGGUUCGAACCACACGGUUCGACCAGGGUGGCGCAGCCACCCGGAGCGCCGCUGAAAAGCGGCGACCCGAAGGGUGAGGGCCGCAGGCCCGAAUAAUCCACCCCCUCCACCA
rnacentral:sRNA from 1 species